rnacentral:lncRNA from 1 species
AGCCGGAGAAGCCCCCGACCAAGGGCCACGGCCACAAGCCGGAGAAGCCGCCCAAGGAGCACAAGCCGACUCCGCCCACCUACACCCCGAGCCCCAAGCCCACGCCGCCGCCGGCUACUCCCAAGCCGACGCCGCCCACCUACACGCCGAGCCCUAAGCCCAAGUCGCCGGUCUACCCUCCCCCGCCGAAAGCCAGUACUCCUCCGACCUACACCCCGAGCCCCAAGCCUCCGGCGACCAAGCCGCCUACCUACCCGACCCCCAAGCCACCAGCUACCAAGCCUCCGACACCUCCUGUGUACACUCCGAGCCCCAAACCACCGGUUACAAAGCCUCCUACACCCAAGCCGACCCCGCCGGUGUACACGCCGAACCCCAAGCCACCGGUUACCAAGCCUCCGACACACACGCCGAGCCCCAAGCCUCCGACAUCCAAGCCGACUCCGCCGGUGUACACACCGAGCCCCAAGCCACCGAAGCCGUCCCCGCCGACGUACACGCCGACCCCGAAGCCACCGGCUACCAAGCCGCCCAC